rnacentral:lncRNA from 1 species
CCAAGUCACCGAGAUCAUGUCUCAAUUGGCCACACCUUCAACACGAGCAUCAACAACUCUAUCUUCGAGCAAAACUAUGUGGUUCAGCCGCGAGAUAGAAAACAAGCAUUUUUCCAUCUUUAGUUCUGAUUUAGCUGAAGCUAAUUUUCCUAUAUAAGGAGAGCUCUGAUCCAGAAGGAUCGCCGGACUCGAUGUGGAUCAUUUUGAUCACUACGAGUAUGCAGGAGGAUGACCAAACUCGAUGUUGAUCACUUUAGCCACUAUGGAUAUCCAAGAAGAUCACCAAACUCAACGUGGAAUACUGUCUAUUACGAAAAUUUUGAAGAAUUACCAAACUCGAUGUGGAUCACUUUGGCCACUAUGGAUAUUCAGGAGGAUCAUCAUACUCG